GACGAACGCUGGCGGCGUGCUUAACACAUGCAAGUCGAACGGAAAGGCCCCUUUGGGGGUACUCGAGUGGCGAACGGGUGAGUAACACGUGAGUAACCUGCCCUUUACUUCGGGAUAACUUCAGGAAACUGGGGCUAAUACCGGAUAGGAAUCCUUGCUGCAUGGUGGGGGUUGGAAAGCUUCGGCGGUUUUGGAUGGACUCGCGGCUUAUCAGCUUGUUGGUGGGGUAGUGGCUUACCAAGGCUUUGACGGGUAGCCGGCCUGAGAGGGCGACCGGCCACAUUGGGACUGAGGUACGGCCCAGACUCCUACGGGAGGCAGCAGUGGGGAAUAUUGCACAAUGGGCGGAAGCCUGAUGCAGCAACGCCGCGUGCGGGAUGACGGCCUUCGGGUUGUAAACCGCUUUCAGCAGGGGCGAAGCUUGUGGUGACGGUACCUGCAGAAGAAGCACCGGCUAACUACGUG
rnacentral:rRNA from 1 species